UCCGGUUUAACACCGGCAGUCUCCUCAGAGUCCCCAACUUAAUGCUGGUAACUGAGAACAGGGGUUGCGCUCGUUAUCGGACUUAACCGGACAUCUUACGACACGAGCUGACGACAGCCAUGCAGCACCUAUCUCCAAGUCCCCGAAAGGAAGACUACAUCUCUGUAGCUGUCUUGGGAUGUUAAGGGUAGGUAAGGUUCUGCGCGUUGCUUCGAAUUAAACCACAUACUCCACCGCUUGUGCGGGCCCCCGUCAAUUCCUUUGAGUUUUAGCCUUGCGACCGUACUCCCCAGGCGGGAUACUUCACGCGUUAGCUUCGUUACUGAGUCAGUGAAGACCCAACAACCAGUUGACAUCGUUUAGGGCGUGGACUAC
rnacentral:misc_RNA from 1 species